UUCUGUUUCAGGAAUUCUGACAAGGGUGUAGAGGUCGCCUUCCUCGGCACUCGCACAGGCCUCUCAAGAAUCAACCUGUUUGUGGGGGCUGAACAGCUCACCAAUCAGGACUUUCUGAAGGCUAGAGACAAAGAGAACAUUUUCAACGCAGAUCAUUUCCCUCUCUGGUACAGAAGAGCUGCCGAGCAGAUUCCAGGAAGUUUUGUCUACUCCAUCCCCUUCAGCACAGGAACGGUCAACAAAAGCAAUGUGGUGACAGCAAGUACCUCCAUCCAACUCCUGGAUGAGCGAAAAUCUCCUGUGGUGGCAGACUGCUGUGGAUACAG
rnacentral:sRNA from 1 species